GUGCACCAGUCGAGAAACCUCCGCAAUACACGAAAGUGUGACGGGGCCAUCCCGAGUGCCGUCCGCUGAGGACGGCUUUUCCCCAGUGUACACAGCUGGGGGAAUAAGGAGAGGGCAAGCCUGGUGUCAGCCGCCGCGGUAAUACCAGCUCUCCGAGUGGUGGGGACGCUUAUUGGGCCUAAAGCAUCCGUAGCCGGCUGGGCAAGUCCUCCGUUAAAUCCAACGAUUCAAUCGUUGGGCUGCGGGGGAUACUGUCCAGCUUGGGGGCGGGAGAGGCCGACGGUAUUCCCGGGGUAGGGGUGAAAUCCUAUAAUCCCGGGAGGACCACCAGUGGCGAAGGCUGUCGGCUAGAACGCGCCCGACGGUGAGGGAUGAAAGCUGGGGGAGCGAACCGGAUUAGGAUA
rnacentral:rRNA from 1 species